AGCGAACGCUGGCGGCAGGCCUAACACAUGCAAGUCGAACGAUGAAAGCGGGAGCUUGCUCCUGCUGGAUUAGUGGCGAACGGGUGAGUAACACGUGAGCAAUCUGCCCCGAACUCUGGGAUAAGCGUUGGAAACGACGUCUAAUACCGGAUACGACGCGCGAAGGCAUCUUCUGCGCGUGGAAAGAACUUCGGUUCGGGAUGAGCCCGCGGCCUAUCAGCUAGUUGGUGAGGUAACGGCCCACCAAGGGGACGACGGGUAGCCGGCCGGAGAGGGUGACCGGCCACACUGGGACUGAGACACGGCCCAGACUCCUACGGGAGGCAGCAGUGGGGAAUAUUGCACAAUGGGCGCAAGCCUGAUGCAGCAACGCCGCGUGAGGGACGACGGCCUUCGGGUUGUAAACCUCUUUUAGUAGGGAAGAAGCGAAAGUGACGGUACCUGCAGAAAAAGCACCGGCUAACUACGUGCCAGCCGCCGCCGUAAGAC
rnacentral:rRNA from 1 species